CCACGUUGUCUGUUCAGUGGGUUGAGGAUAAGGGAAACAGUUACACAGGUGGAGAAGUGAGGAAUGACAAUAAAUUAGACGAUGAAGCUAAACCAAAACGUUUAGGAAAAAUGAAGAGAUUCAGAAAUUUCCUAAGGAAUAUAUUUUGUUGUGGAAGGAAAAACAGUGAGGAAUGAAGAUCGUCUAGCCUGCUCAUAUUAUUUAUUCGUUUUUAUAAAAUAAUGUGAUUGUUUUUUUCUUUCGUUUUGGAAACCAAGGAGAAGACAACGGAACUAUUUAAUACCGUAUUUUAGAUUGGCAUUUUAUUGGAUCUUUUUUUUAUUUGGACGUGUUUUUUUAUUUUCAAGACUAUUGGCUACAGAGCAGAAAAAAAGCUCUGUGGCCAACAUUGCUGACAAAAUUCAUACCAUAUUCUAAAUUCUUCUUUGACUAUAAAUUAUAUAUAUUUUUAAAAUCUGCUAUUUAAAGUUCCGUUGUCUUCUCUUUACAAAAUUCUUUAAACAAUAUUGUACAAGUUCAAGUUAAAUAUGUAAUGAAAUAUGAAAUUAAAAACUGCAUUGCAAAAA